rnacentral:rRNA from 1 species
UACGGAGGGUGCGAGCGUUGUUCGGAAUCACUGGGCGUAAAGCGCGUGUAGGCGGCCCACUAAGUCUGAUGUGAAAGCCCGGGGCUCACCCCCGGAAGUGCAUUGGAAACUGGUGGACUCGAGUCCCGGAGAGGAGAGUGGAAUUCCUGGUGUAGCGGUGAAAUGCGUAGAUAUCAGGAGGAACACCGGUGGCGAAGGCGGCUCUCUGGACGGUGACUGACGCUGAGGCACGAAGGUCAGGGGAGCAAACGGG